UACAGAGGUCUCAAGCGUUGUUCGGAUUCAUUGGGCGUAAAGGGUGCGUAGGCGGCCAACUAAGUCGGACGUGAAAUCCCUCGGCUUAACCGGGGAACUGCGUCCGAUACUGGAUGGCUUGAGUUUGGGAGAGGGAUGCGGAAUUCCAGGUGUAGCGGUGAAAUGCGUAGAUAUCUGGAGGAACACCGGUGGCGAAGGCGGCAUCCUGGACCAACACUGACGCUGAGGAGCGAAAGCCAGGGGAGCAAAGCGGG
rnacentral:rRNA from 1 species